GACGAACGCUGGCGGCGUGCUUAACACAUGCAAGUCGAACGGAAAGGCCUCUUUCGGGGGGUACUCGAGUGGCGAACGGGUGAGUAACACGUGAGUAACCUGUCCUUGACUUUGGGAUAACUUCAGGAAACUGGGGCUAAUACCGGAUAGGAGCUCCUGCUGCAUGGUGGGGGUUGGAAAGUUUCGACGGUUGGGGAUGGACUCGCGGCUUAUCAGCUUGUUGGUGGGGUAGUGGCUUACCAAGGCUUUGACGGGUAGCCGGCCUGAGAGGGUGACCGGCCACAUUGGGACUGAGAUACGGCCCAGACUCCUACGGGAGGCAGCAGUGGGGAAUAUUGCACAAUGGGCGGAAGCCUGAUGCAGCAACGCCGCGUGCGGGAUGACGGCCUUCGGGUUGUAAACCGCUUUCGCCUGUGACGAAGCGUGAGUGACGGUAAUGGGUAAAGAAGCACCGGCUAACUACGUG
rnacentral:rRNA from 1 species